UUCGCAGUCGAGUUGAAAUCGAUCUGAAAA
rnacentral:piRNA from 1 species